AGUGGCGAACGGGUGAGUAACACGUGAGUAACCUGCCCUUGACUCUGGGAUAAGCGUUGGAAACGACGUCUAAUACCGGAUACGAGCUAGGACCGCAUGGUCACUAGCUGGAAAGAAUUUCGGUCAAGGAUGGACUCGCGGCCUAUCAGCUAGUUGGUGAGGUAACGGCUCACCAAGGCGACGACGGGUAGCCGGCCUGAGAGGGUGACCGGCCACACUGGGACUGAGACACGGCCCAGACUCCUACGGGAGGCAGCAGUGGGGAAUAUUGCACAAUGGGCGCAAGCCUGAUGCAGCAACGCCGCGUGAGGGACGACGGCCUUCGGGUUGUAAACCUCUUUUAGCAGGGAAGAAGCGCAAGUGACAGUACCUGCAGAAAAAGCACCGGCUAACUACGUGCCAGCAGCCGCGGUAAUACGUAGGGUGCAAGCGUUGUCCGGAAUUAUUGGGCGUAAAGAGCUCGUAGGCGGUCUGUCGCGUCUGCUGUGAAAACCCGAGGCUCAACCUUGGGCCUGCAGUGGGUACGGGCAGACUAGAGUGCGGUAGGGGAGAUUGGAGUUCCUGGAGUAGCGGUGGAAUGCGCAGAUAUCAGGAGGAACACCGAUGGCGAAGGCAGAUCUCUGGGCCGUAACUGACGCUGAGGAGCGAAAGCGUGGGGAGCGAACAGGAUUAGAUACCCUGGUAGUCCACGCCGUAAACG
rnacentral:rRNA from 1 species